GAGGUCUUCAUAAGUUAUUUUUAGAGGGCGAUUCUCUCUCUCUCUCUAGAGCUAGGUCUAUAUAUAUUUCCAUCCAUUCCAAACACACUUCACGAAUAUAUGCUCUAGCUUCUACAAUUUUUGGUUAAAGAUGGCUUAUUUUAAAAAGGUUAUCUUGAAUCUAUCUUUGCUAUUUAUGCUUCUCUUUUCAAUAAAAUUGGCAACAGCAAGGCACUUCUGGAAUCGUAAAGCACAUGGAAGCUUCCGUUAUGUUACUGAUGAUUUAGCACACGGCCACAAUUAUGCUCCUGGUCAUGGAUGAUCGGGAACUUAUCAAUUAUGCUCAGCAAAAAUAAUUAGUAAAGAAGUUGGGGCAGGAAGCAGGUUGGAUUUAAAGGCUUGUUCUGGAUUAGCAAAAAUAAUUAGUAUAUGUCGUUUUGUUUAAUGUGUGGACCUAUGGAUAUGAUUGAUUGUAUAAAUUUAAUUAUAAAUAAUCAAAUCUAUAAGGAAUAGUCAUCGUGAGCUUAGCUUACUUGAUAUGGAAAAUGUAUAAUAUAUGUGAAGUACGGGAUUCGAAUCCGGCCACCACAAAAAAAAUUCUGCAAGAAAUAAAUUCAAAAAUUAAGCAACCACUGGUAUAUGACAGAUUUAGCUAGCAACCAUUAGUUACAAUGAAUUAUUCACCUAUCCAACUUAUCUACAAGGAAUAAAUUCCAACGUUAACAGCAACCAUGCUUUGUACAUAUUUGUCUCAAUCUACAUUAUAAAAGGAUCUAUUUACAUAAUACAGCAAGAAACAAGUUCAAUCAAUUGCAACCAACCAACUAUUUUUCAAGGACGUGAGUUCCUCGGAAAAAAUUGGCAUUCCGAGGAGAUAUGGACGAUUUUCAAGGAGUUUUGUGCCUCGGAAUUUCAAUGCUUUAUUUUUUAAUGAAUUUCUUGUAAUGAUUCUUUUUGUGUA